GACAGAGGUGCCAAGCGUUAGGCGGAAUCACUGGGCUUAAAGCGUGUGUAGGCGGCUCGUUAAGUCCCUUGUGAAAUCCCACGGCUUAACCGUGGAACUGCUCGGUAUACUGGCGGUCUUGAGCAACCUAGGGGCGAGCGGAACAAAUGGUGGAGCGGUGAAAUGCGUAGAUAUCAUUUGGAACGCCAAUGGUGAAAACAGCUCGCUGGGGGUUUGCUGACGCUGAGACACGAAAGCCAGGGGAGCAAACGGG
rnacentral:rRNA from 1 species